rnacentral:rRNA from 1 species
AAAGCGAGCGGCGGAUGGGUGAGUAACACGUGGGGAACCUGCCCCAUAGUCUGGGAUACCACUUGGAAACAGGUGCUAAUACCGGAUAAGAAAGCAGAUCGCAUGAUCAGCUUUUAAAAGGCGGCGUAAGCUGUCGCUAUGGGAUGGCCCCGCGGUGCAUUAGCUAGUUGGUAAGGUAAAGGCUUACCAAGGCGAUGAUGCAUAGCCGAGUUGAGAGACUGAUCGGCCACAUUGGGACUGAGACACGGCCCAAACUCCUACGGGAGGCAGCAGUAGGGAAUCUUCCACAAUGGACGCAAGUCUGAUGGAGCAACGCCGCGUGAGUGAAGAAGGUUUUCGGAUCGUAAAGCUCUGUUGUUGGUGAAGAAGGAUAGAGGUAGUAACUGGCCUUUAUUUGACGGUAAUCAACCAGAAAGUCACGGCUAACUACGUGCCAGCAGCCGCGGUUAAUACGUAGGUGGCAAGCGUUGUCCGGAUUUAUUGGGCGUAAAGCGAGCGCAGGCGGAAAAAUAAGUCUGAUGUGAAAGCCCUCGGCUUAACCGAGGAACUGCAUCGGGAAACUGUUUUUUCUUGAGUGCA